AGGAGCACAGCUUUCGACCCAGGCUCUUCAGGUGAAGGAAGGAAAGAAAGACUGGUUCCCAGCGCGCCCUAGGAGAGAGGCCAGGAAUACAAGGCCACGAAAGCCCAUCUGUUUCCAGGCUUCUGUGAUUUGUUUUCCCUUUUCUUUGAAUACCCCUUGAUUUAUGAGACUAGGGGUGAAGAUCUCUUCUCAUUUAACUUACUUUGAAGCUGAUUCAAGUUGUUCCAAUAAUAAAUCAGUCUAAAUAAAAAGCA
rnacentral:lncRNA from 1 species